UUGGAGGGCAAGUCUGGUGCCAGCAGCCGCGGUAAUUCCAGCUCCAAUAGCGUAUAUUAAAGUUGCUGCAGUUAAAAAGCUCGUAGUUGAAUUUCGGGACCAUCAUGUCGGUCGUGCCUCGGUACGUACUGGUAUUGUUGGUUUCUCCCUUCUGACGAACCAUGAUGUCAUUUAUUUGGUGUUGUGGGGAAUCAGGACUGUUACUUUGAAAAAAUUAGAGUGUUUAAAGCAGGCUCACGCUUGAAUACAUUAGCAUGGAAUAAUGAAAUAGGACGUUUGAUUCUAUUUUGUUGGUUUCUAGGAUCGACGUAAUGAUUAAUAGGGAUAGUUGGGGGCAUUAGUAUUCAAUUGUCAGAGGUGAAAUUCUUGGAUUUAUUGAAGACUAACUACUGCGAAAGCAUUUGCCAAGGAUGUUUUCAUUAAUCAAGAACGAAAGUUAGGGGAUCGAAGACGAUCAGAUACCGUCGUAGUCUUAACCAUAAACUAUGCCGACUAGGGAUCGGAUGAUGUUAAUUUUAUAAUGACUCAUUCGGCGCCUUACGGGAAAC
rnacentral:rRNA from 1 species